UAAACUCUAUGGUACCUCAAAGAAGUUAUGGACAAAGCUUUUCCAAACUUCAAAUGUUGUAUCAAUGCCAUCAUCUUUGUGAAGUUGUGGAUUGACUCGAACCAAAAAUCAUCACUAAGAAUAGGGUAUGUUGAACCAUAUAAUUAAAAUUGUGAAAUUCAAGCAUUACAACUUGAUAAUUCAUGAACAAGGAAGAAGAGAUGAGAGAGUGAAAUUGUAAAUUUUAUUCAUCAUCAAAAUCACGUGUUACAAUCUGAUAUUGUGCCUUAUAUAUAGGCUAUGAAAGAGAUACAAAAAUAUCUAAUAACUACCUCCUUCUAGAAUAUUCUAUUUGAUACCUCAUUGCACCUAACUAAUCAUUUGUCUAACAACCUUCAACACCCUAUACAGUUGACUCAGCAAUAUACUAACUAAAUAUCUACUCCUAUCAGUGCUACAUAUUAGUGAAACAGGUAGUCACACAUGUGUCUUUAAAACACGCCUCCUCAAGUUACAGGGUGCAAGAUAUUUAGCACACCAAGCUUGCCUAAUAAAUGAGCAUGUUGAGCUUGAGCUUGGCUUAGCCCCUUAGUAAGAAGAUCAGCCACUUGGCCUUGAGAGUGAACAUGUAUAGCUUGUAUCAAUCCACUUUUGAUCUUGUCCCUGAUGAAAUGGCAGUCAAUCUCUAUGUGUUUUGUUCUCUCAUGAAACACAGGAUUAUUGGCCAACUGAAUUGUUGAAUUGUUGUCACUAAAGACUGAUAUGGGUAAGGUAAUGGAACCUUGAGUUCAUGAAACAAGCCAACCAACCAAGUUAUCUCUGCAACUACUGAAGCCAUGCUUCUGUACUCAGCUUUAGCAAAACUCCUGGAAACAGUGUGUUGUUUCUUGGACUUCCAAGAAUCAAAGAUUCACCAAAAUGAACUGCAUAAUCAGUAACUAAUCUCCUAGUGUUGGGACAAGCAGCCCAAUCUGAGUCACACCAGCAAGUUAGAGUGGUAGAAUGUUUAGCCUGUAGCUAGAUUCCUUGACCAACAGAGCCUUUGAGGUACCUGACUACCCUGAGAGCAGCCUCCCAGUGUGAUCUCUUGGGAUGUUGCAUAAAUUGGCUGAGAGUGUGGACUGCAAAACAUGCAAAACAUGAUAUCUGGUCUAGUAAUAGUGGCAUACAUGAGUUUGCCUAUUAGUCUUUGAUAAGAAGAAGCAUCAGACAAUAAAUUAUCACCUUGUGCACCUGUGGUUUGAUCAUACUCAAGUGAAGUCAGCCUCACAUUGGACUCUAAGGGAGUGAUUGCAGGUUUUGAACCACUAAGACCAGUAUCUGAAAUUAAUUCUAGGAUAUAUUUUCUUUGAUUUAAUAUCACCCCUGAAGUUGAUCUGAGAACUUCAAUACCCUAGAAGUAUUUGAGAUUCCCCAAGUCUUUCAUCUUGAACUGCUGGUGCAACUUGGCUUUUGUUGCAUCAAUCAAAUUAGCAUUGCUUCCUGUAAGGAGCAAGUCAUCAACAUAUACAAAAACUAUCACUGUGUCAUUACCUUGAUGCAGAAAGAAGAGAGAAUAAUCAUGAUCACUUUGAGUGAAUCCAGCUUCAAGCAAAGCAUGAGUCAGUUUCAGGUUCCAUUGUCUGGAAGCCUGUUUGAGGCCAUACAAGGAUUUGAGCAACUUGCAAAUCUUGUGCUCUCCUUGGUUUUUGAAACCUUCUGGCAGCGCCAUAUACACUUCCUCUUCAAGAUCCCCUUGUAAAAAUGCAUUAUAGACAUCCAUUUGAUAGAGAGGCCAUCCUUUAGAUACUGCUACAGCAAUCACACUCCUGACAGUAGCCAUUUUUGCCACUAGUGAAUAUGUCUCAUGAUAAUCAAGCCCUUCUUGUUGGCUAUAUCCCUUGGCCAUUAAUCUUGCUUUGAACCUUUCCACUUCACCAUUUGCAAGAUAUUUAAUCAUGUAUAUCCAUUUGGAACCAACAGUGUUCUUCCCUUUGGGUAGGUCAACAAUGGUCCAUGUGUUGUUUGCCUCUAAUGCUUGAAUUUUUAACUUCAUAGAUUCACCCAUCUUUCAUCUUUUACAGCUUGUUUGAAGUGUUGAGGCUCAGUCAGAGCAGAGAACUUUGACAAGUAACACUGAUAUGCUAGUUUUAGUUUACUGUAAGAUAGGUUGUUAUCUAAGGGGUACUUACAUCUCUGGGAUUUUGAAGUGUCAACAUAAUCAUGCAUCCACACACACAGGAGGUCUUCUUGUUCUCGUUGGUCUACUUGAAGUGGGUUGAAGCAGGGAACGGUUAUCUUGACAUGUUUCUUCGUGAGUGGUGCCAGGUGAAGUUACACCAGGUACUGCAUCAUCAGAGGACCCUUGGCAAUCAACAUGAGUAUUUGCAUCCUUAACAUGAAUAUCCUCUAAAGGGACAUCAGCACCAACUUCAUCAUAUAUGGAGACCAGGAAGUCAUUGAUGUCUUCAUCAAUUUUGGAAGUAUCUGCACGUUGGGAUCCUGCUUGUGAUGAAUCAAAAGGGAAAGAAUCUUCAUAAAACACAACAUCCCUACUCACUAAUAAUCCUUUUGAGUUAAUGUCCAGUAACAAGUAACCCUUUUGAGAUUCUAAAUAUCCUACUAGUACAGCAGGUUUAGCUCUUUCAGAGAACUUGUCAUCCCUUGGAACAACAGUCAUAUAACACAAACAUCCAAACACCCUCAAAUGUGACAACUUGGAAUCUUUAGAGAAUAACAACUGAAAUGGGCUCUUACCAUUCAGGACUGAGGUUGGUAACCUGUUCAUGAUAUAUACUGCAGCUUUUACACAUAAUCCCCAGUACUUGAUGGGCAAAUAGGAUUGAAAUUUAAGAGCUCUAGCAAUAUUCAAUGUGUCUGUGCUUCCUUUCCACCACUCCAUUUUGCUGUGGAGUGUAAGGACAGCUGGUCUGAUGUAAGAUUCCCAGAGACUGGAACAAUAUAUGACAUUGAGUAUUGAUAAACUCAGUCUCAUUAUCAGAUCUAAUGGCUUUUAUCACCACUCCAAACUGUGUUUUAAUCAUGGAUAUGAAUGUCUUAAUAGCUACUAUGGUCUCAGAUUUUAGCUGCAACAGAUGAAUCUAAGUAUAUCUACUAUAGUCAUCCAUCAUAGUCAAGAAAUAACACUUAUUAUCAAAUGUAGGUGUUUUAUAAGGACCUCAUAAAUCUAUGUGUACAAGUUCAAAACAUGCAGAACAUCUAGUAGUACUUGUGGGAAAUGGCAUUCUUGUUUGUUUAGCUAGUGGGCAUACAGUACAUUUAUUCAAUAUAUCUACAUCACUAUGAUUCAUCAAAAUAUCCAAGUCUCUUAAAACCUGAGGAGUUGGGUGCCCAAGUCUUUGGUGCCAUAGUUUGCAAUUAGGAACAACAACCUCUGCAGUGAACCUGUUGUGUUUUGCUCCUUCUUGAACAACAUUAUCUUUUCAUUCUCCUUUAAGAACAUACAGUCCACCCUCUUGUCUACCAAUCCCCUUCACCUUGCCAUUGAAGAGGUCCUAAAAUAUGCAGAAAUCAGGAUAAAAGGACACAAAGCAUGACAGUUCCUUGGUUAUCUUAGCAACAGACAACAGAUUUAGUCUAAAAUCUGGAACAAAGAGAACAUCUUUGAUCACAUCAUCUGUAAAAAUGUAUGCUUCUCCAGUGUGAGAAAUUGUGACUUCAUCUCCUGUUGGAAGGUGCAAUUUGUCCAAAUGCCUUGGAACCAAGCUGUUGCUAUCUUUAAACAAGUAUCUAUUGGCAGACACAUGAUGUGUAGCCCCUGAAUCUACAAUCCAACUAUCAGAACAAGUCUUGGAUAAGAAGCAAGUAACAAUACCUGUCAUAUUGACUUGUCAUAUUGACUUGUUUCAUAUCCUUGGUAUCCUUAUUCAACAUGUUUAUGAUUUGAUUGUACUCUUCAUCAGUGAAUGUAUGUGGUUUUGUUAGUGGUACAGAAUUGGCAUCAUGACUGGAACUGGCAGUAUCAGUUGGUCCUGCUACCAUGCUUGCAGUUUGGGAAAACUUGCUACCAGUGUUAGUAUAGUUGUUACCCCUAUUAUGCAGUGAGAAAUUAUUGCCACCAGCAUUAUAUGACCUGAAAUUUGGAGGAGCAUAACCUUGUUUCUUCUUGUUCUUCCAAUCAUUUGGAUAUCCUAUCAGUUUGUAGCAGUUUUCUUUAGUAUGACCUGAAAUUUGAUAGUAGUCACACCUUCUACUCUUGUAAUUUGUGUUUCCCUGUCCAUAACCGUAACUGCGAUUCACUUGCAUAGCAAGAGGUUCUCAUCUGUCGUGUAUAGCAAGUGUACAUGCUGAGUGUUAUACCUCAUCCUCUAUGAGCAUGGCAUAAGAUUGAUUGAGAGUUGGAGUUACGCUCUUAAGUAAGAUCUGUCUCCUAGCUUGAUCGCAGGACUCAUUCAAACCACUCAAAAAUUGUAGAAGUCUCAGUUGACACAUAUGAUCUGAGUACUCUUUGGAUUUAGGGCAAUCACAGCUAGGAUUAGGAACCAGAACAUCAUACUUACUCCACAAGGUCUUCAACUUAGUAAAAUAAGCUGAGAUUGAAUAAUCAGUACCUUGAGAAUGCAUAUUGAUUUCACGAUGCAAUUGAUAUAUACGCAUACGAUUCACUUUAUCAUAUCUUUCCUUCAAAAUCAUUCCAGACUACGCAAGCAUUUGUAGCAUACACGAUCCCAGAUAGUAAGCUUUCACUCACAGUAUUCAUGAUCCAUAAGAGGACAAUCGCAUUACACGUUUCCCACUGAUCAUGAAAUUCUUCUCUGUAUGACUCCUUGUUGUAGGGUCCAGUGACAAAACCAUACUUUCUCUUCCCUAAGAGAGCAAUUCGCAUGGAUCGACUCCAAAGACUAUUGUUUUCUAAACCAGUUAAUUUGAUUGGAAUGAGUAUAGAGAUUGAACUAUCUGAAGCACCUAUGAAGAGUGGAUCACUUUGAUCAAUUUUGGGUGCCAUGAAUGAAGAAAUUCCACUACAAAAUCAACUAAACUUGCAGAAAAAUCGAAAUAGUUUUCUAUAUUAGCACCCUGGCUUUGAUACCAUGUGAAAUUCAAGCAUUACAGGUUGAUAAUUCAUGAACAAGGAGGAAGAGAUGAGAGAGUGAAAUUGUAAACUUUAUUCAUCAUCAAAAUCACGUGUUACAAUAUGAUAUUGUGCCUUAUAUCUAGGCUAUGAAAGAGAUACAAAAAUAUCUAAUAACUAGCUCCUUCUAGAACAUUCUAUUUGACACCUCAUUGCACCUGACUAAUCAUUUGUCUAACAACCUCUAACAACCUUCAACACCCUAUACAGCUGACUCAGCAAUAUACUAACUAACUAAAUAUCUACUCCUAUCAGUGCUACACAUUAGUGAAACAGGUAGUCACACAUGUGUCUUUAAAAUAAAAAUAAACACAAAUAAAAGUUAUAUAUAGUGUAGGGAUUGGUGGAAUGGAUAGAGAUAACACUCAUGUGAGGUAUAAGUCAUAAUAAUCCCGGGAUAAAAUGUAGGAUUAUUUUAUCCUAUGUUUGUUUGGAGGUAUUAGUUAGCCAAUGGAUUAUUUACCCCACAAUUUAUGCUUUAGUAAUGAGAUAAGUUAUCCCAUAUAUAUAUGAUAGGAUAAUUAAUCCCGGUAUAACUUGUUCCCAACCAAACUAUCCUUCAGUAUAUAGCAGAGAAUGUGAAACAUACAUUGUACAACAGUAUCCUGUUUUUUGUUUAGAUUGCUUAGAAUCUGUGUUUGUCUAUCAGGUCAGGUCUAGGGCCCCUCUAUUGUUUUUAGUUAUCAUAAUUGAAAUACAACACCCUAGAACAUAUGUAUAAGGCUAUUUGUUUCUUUUUUGACUUAAUUUCAUAAGAUUUGUAAUUUUUCGAUCUAGUGUGCUAUCAAAGAACCGAUUUACGAUGUCUGUAAAUUAUUAAUGGUAUUACUCUUGUUAGAAACUCAUUUCUGCUGAUGCCGACUUCAUGUCAAGUUGGAAGUGAGGGGUGGUGUAUAUAUGGCUGUAAUUAUCGUUAAUCGUGGUGAUUGUUGGGUUAAUCGUGGUAUAAUAGUUGUGUUGGUUGGGAUGUUGGUCUUGGAUUGAGCUCAUUCUAAGUUCUUGGCUGGUCUUACUUAUUUUUUGGUUUGGUUUGGUUUCUUUUGAUUUGCUCGAUAAAGUGUGGCACACAUAAACCUGUCAAACGGGUCGGUCUGACCCGUCCCACGAGAAAGCCUGGACCGAUUUGAUCUGGCCCGGUCAGCCCCCGGGCUGUAGGGUUGCCGGUCCACUGGGCCGAAAAAUUUUUUGGGCCUAGUUAAUCCAGCUCGGACCCAAACCGAACCAGCCCGGCUCGGUUUAAUUUUAAAAAAAAAUAAAUCUGGAAAAAGCAAAAAUUUUGAUUUAAAAUUUUUUUUAAAAUUUAAAAAAUUUCCUAUAAAUACCCUACACUUUUAAAUCAUUUGCCACACAAUUUUCAUUCUCUCAAAUCUCAUUCUCUCUCAAAUAUUCUAUAUAAGUCUUAAAGUGCUCAAUUUUAUUUUUUAAUUUUGUGAUUACAAAGUACGAGUGGAAGUUUCUAAAGUUGCAACUUUCGGAUACUUCCAAAAUUUGGCAUUGUCCUUUUAAUUUUUAAUUAGUGUAUUAAUUGCUGAAUAUUUAAUUAUAUUAUCUUUGUGUGUUUUGAAUUUUUUUAGUUUGAUUUAUAUUAUGGAUAAAUUAAGAAACAUCGGUAAAAGUGUUAAAAAAAAAUUGUCCCAGAAGUGGUAGUGAUAGUAAAAAGUAAAUUACUAGCGGUAGAGGUAGUUCAAGUAGUAGAUAUACCCUUGCGUCUCAGGUACUACUUAGUCAACCUUUUGAGGAAGAAGUAGGUGUAGGUGCUCACAAUAUGGAUUAUUUAGAAGCUCAGAAAAAUUACGAUAUAGAAGAAGAAAAUGAAGUAGAUGCGGUUAAUUUAGAUGAAGAUGAUGAAAAUAUUGGUGAGACACCCGCAGUAGGAAAUGCUAAUGUUAGAUAUGAAUUAGUUAAUCACCCUGCCCAUCCUCCUCGUGCCCCAAGAUCUCGUAGAUCAACUAGUAUUGCAUAACAAUUUUUUACACGUAUAGAAGGAGAAACUAAGGUGCAAUGCAAUAUUUGUCAACAAGUAUAUAGGCAUUAAAGAUGAGACAAUCAAGGGGGUACGGGUACGUUAAUAAGACAUAUAAAUGAUAAUCACAAAAGAGAGUUACUUAUUGCACAAGGUGGUGAGGUUGUUGGUGGGCCAACACAAACUAGAAUGGACCCAGCAACCAGUCAGGUAGUGAAGACUUAUAAUAAAUUGAGGGACCGGGAAAAAAUAGCAAAAAUGAUAGCUGUGGGUUAUUUGUCUUUCACUUUUCCUUCUUCGGAUGUUUUUAUUCAUUAUAUUCAAGCAAUUUAUAAUCCUAUGUUUAAUGGUAUUCCUAGAAGUAUUUGUUGGGCCGAUAUUUUUAGACUUCAUUCACAAUAUGUUUAUUAUUUAUCUACAUUGUUAAAAAAAUAUUCAAUGUAGAAUGACUCUAACUUCUUAUCUUGGUCGUGUUGUUAAUAGAAAUGAUUAUUUAAUCAUUACUUGUCAUUGGAUAGAUAAUAAUUUUGUUAUGCAAAAACGUAUUCUAGCUUUUUUGUAUGAUGAAGAUUGUAGACAUACUGGAGAAUUUAUUGCUUAAUUUAUUACUAAAAUUGCAGAAUUUUAUGGUAUUGAAAGAAAAGUUAUAUGUAUUGUUUUUGAUAAUGCUCCUAACAACAACACUGCUAUUGAAAAGUUAAAAAAUGAUCUCUCUCCGCCGUUAUCUGAAAUAUUUCAUGUUAGGUGUGCUGUCAUAUAUAUAAUUUAAUUGUAAGAGAUGGUCUUGAAUUUUUUGAGUUUUAUAUUGAAAAAAUUCGACUUGCUGUUAGUUUUAUUCAAAGAAAUAAUUGAAAAAAAAAUUAGAGAAUUUAAAGUUAAAUGUGAAUAAAAUGGACUUACGCCUAUAUUUAUACCUGGAGAAUGUAAUACUAGAUGGAAUGCUACGUAUGAUUAUUUAAAAACUUGUCUUGCUUAUAAGGUUCCUAUUACAUUGACUUUUAACCAAUAUUGUGGUUCAUUUGCUAAUUUGGCUGAAUGUAUGCUAAAUGAUUCUGAUUGGGCUGCAAUUGAUGAUCUUGUUAAGUUUUUGAAAAUAUUUUAUAUAGAUACGGUUGAAUUUUUCGGUGCUUAUUAUCCUACUGUUUGUAAUAUUUUACUCUCUCCGUUUAAAAAAGAAUGACCUACUUUUCUUUUUAGUCCGUUUAAAAAAGAAUGACCCCUUUCCUUUUUUGGCAAUACUUUAAUUUCAACUUUACACAUGGCAUGCUUAGGACUACAAGAUUAAAGGGCAUUUUGGUACAUUUAACACAACUUUAAUUUAAAACCACAAGAUUCAAAAGUCUUCUUUAUUUUCUUAAACUUUGUGUCAAGUCAAAGUAGGUCAUUCUUUUUUAAAC
rnacentral:lncRNA from 1 species